rfam:Macrostomum lignano uti_cns_0015358, whole genome shotgun sequence.
GUCAGGAUGGCCGAGUGGUCUAAGGCGCUGCGUUCAGGUCGCAGUCCUCUUCUGAGGGCGUGGGUUCGAAUCCCACUUCUGACA